UACAGAGGUCUCAAGCGUUGUUCGGAUUCAUUGGGCGUAAAGGGUGCGUAGGCGGCGCGGUAAGUCGGGUGUGAAAUCUCGGAGCUUAACUCCGAAACUGCAUUCGAUACUGCCGUGCUUGAGGACUGGAGAGGAGACUGGAAUUUACGGUGUAGCGGUGAAAUGCGUAGAUAUCGUAAGGAAGCACAGUGGAGCGGAGCGGU
rnacentral:rRNA from 1 species